CGCGCACAUUUUCCCAAGUAGCAGAGCCGAAGUUGUUGAGAGGUUUUUCUGUGAGCCAAAGCGAGAGGCCCUGUCUUCUCUCUCUAGAUUUUGGACGGCAAACCGCCGCCCGUGCAGAGGUGUGUACGUGUGACGAAAAAUUAUGGAUGAAAUACGGGGGAAGCGGGGUCUGAAGUUUUUCGUUCGUCACACACACAUGCAUUUACCAGCGGAUAUCGCUGGACCGAGUCUACCCAUCUCUCUCGAUCCACCAUGAUUUUUCUGCUAUCGCGCUCAUCCGGGUGUUAGGAAUCCUCAGUCUGUCCAGAACUUUCGUUGUGGAAGGAUGUACUGAAGUGAGGUGCGAUUUCUUGUGCAACGUACUUUGCUCAUUUACGUUUUGUGCCGUGUUCCUUCUUCCUCAGUUAUGGAAUGAUUUAUCCUAGCAAAUUGUUGAGGUGUGUGCGCUAUUUAUCAACGACUACCUGCUAGCCUCGUCAACAAUCUUCAAAGUGAGCGACGGAAAGAAAACGUUUUCCAGUUUUAAAAUAUUAAGCCCCCGGUGAGGACGUCAUUACUUAACAGAAGCCGAUUCAACACGCGCAGCUCCUGUUCAUGACGUCAUCACGAAACUGAAGCCAGCUGAACACGCGCAGCACGGAUGGUACCCCGAGCGCGGUAGGAGGAAGGAAGAACGAGAGGAGGAAGAACGGUAAAUUUGGAAGGGGGUAAGCGUUCUGCCGUCUACACAGCGGGAGUAUCCCAAAACACAUGUGGUAAGGGAGAGGGAUAUUAUUCAAUAAACAGCAUGCGAAUGUGUGCAUAAAGCAAAUGUGAACAGCCUCAUCAUUUCUAUAAGCAAUCCGAAAAAGGGGGUGGAGCAAAUACAUUGGUAUGCGUGAGCGGCUGAAGAAACCAGAACGUUUAGAUGUGUGCGUGACGGAUGGUUCGGGCGCCUGUGGCGAAGCUCUCGACAAGCCUGCAAACGAGAGCUUUGUGGAGAGCUUUGUAGGGAGCUCAGAUUACACAGGCCGCCGUCGGUUUUUGCGUCCUUGGGUUGCUUUAUGCGCGCGACCACCCAAGUAGCAGAGCCGAAGUUGUUGAGAGGUUUUUCUGUGAGCCAAAGCGAGAGGCCCUGUCUUCUCUCUCUAGAUUUUGGACGGCAAACCGCCGCCCGUGCAGAGGUGUGUGCGUGUGACGAAAAAUUAUGGAUGAAAUACGGGGGAAGCGGGGUCUGAAGUUUUUCGUUCGUCACACACACAUGCAUUUACCAGCGGAUAUCGCUGGACCGAGUCUACCCAUCUCUCUCGAUCCACCAUGAUUUUUCUGCUAUCGCGCUCAUCCGGGUGUUAGGAAUCCUCAGUCUGUCCAGAACUUUCGUUGUGGAAGGAUGUACUGAAGUGAGGUGCGAUUUCUUGUGCAACGUACUUUGCUCAUUUACGUUUUGUGCCGUGUUCCUUCUUCCUCAGUUAUGGAAUGAUUUAUCCUAGCAAAUUGUUGAGGUGUGUGCGCUAUUUAUCAACGACUACCUGCUAGCCUCGUCAACAAUCUUCAAAGUGAGCGACGGAAAGAAAACGUUUUCCAGUUUUAAAAUAUUAAGCCCCCGGUGAGGACGUCAUUACUUAACAGAAGCCGGUUCAACACGCGCAGCUCCUGUUCAUGACGUCAUCACUAAACUGAAGCCAGCUGAACACGCGCAGCACGGAUGGUACCCCGAGCGCGGUAGGAGGAAGGAAGAACGAGAGGAGGAAGAACGGUAAAUUUGGAAGGGGGAAAGCGUUCUGCGGUCUACACAGCGGGAGUAUGCCAAAACACUUGUGGGAAGGGAGAGGGAUAUUAUUCAAUAAACAGCAUGCGAAUGUGUGCAUAAAGCAAAUGUGAACAGCCUCAUCAUUUCUAUAAGCAAUCCGAAAAAGGGGGUGGAGCAAACACAUUGGUAUGCGUGAGCGGCUGAAGA